rnacentral:rRNA from 1 species
CAGGACGAACGCUGGCGGCGUGCCUAAUACAUGCAAGUCGAGCGGACAGAUGGGAGCUUGCUCCCUGAUGUUAGCGGCGGACGGGUGAGUAACACGUGGGUAACCUGCCUGUAAGACUGGGAUAACUCCGGGAAACCGGGGCUAAUACCGGAUGGUUGUUUGAACCGCAUGGUUCAGACAUAAAAGGUGGCUUCGGCUACCACUUACAGAUGGACCCGCGGCGCAUUAGCUAGUUGGUGAGGUAACGGCUCACCAAGGCGACGAUGCGUAGCCGACCUGAGAGGGUGAUCGGCCACACUGGGACUGAGACACGGCCCAGACUCCUACGGGAGGCAGCAGUAGGGAAUCUUCCGCAAUGGACGAAAGUCUGACGGAGCAACGCCGCGUGAGUGAUGAAGGUUUUCGGAUCGUAAAGCUCUGUUGUUAGGGAAGAACAAGUGCCGUUCAAAUAGGGCGGCACCUUGACGGUACCUAACCAGAAAGCCACGGCUAACUACGUGCCAGCAGCCGCGGUAAUACGUAGGUGGCAAGCGUUGUCCGGAAUUAUUGGGCGUAAAGGGCUCGCAGGCGGUUUCUUAAGUCUGAUGUGAAAGCCCCCGGCUCAACCGGGGAGGGUCAUUGGAAACUGGGGAACUUGAGUGCAGAAGAGGAGAGUGGAAUUCCACGUGUAGCGGUGAAAUGCGUAGAGAUGUGGAGGAACACCAGUGGCGAAGGCGACUCUC